AUCCUGAUCAGAUCAAGGAUGUUCAAGGUGUAAACGAGAAGAAAGGACGGGAGCAGAAGAAGCAGCGACGGAAGCCCCAGCAGCAGAGACUUGACAACCAGGCCAGAGGCAGAGGGGGAAACUCUGCCAGGAGGGGUGGGGAUUUUACCGGAAUGGGUGGACGCGGAACUAACCAGCCCAGAGACUUCUCCAACAGGGGCGGAGAGUGGAGCAAUAGAGGCCAGGGCUGUGACGAGGGGCGGUUUUCUCAGAAGAGGUGAUUGGUCAAAGCGAGGCACUGACCGGUCACUUAGAGGUGGACGACAGUUCCCAAAUGAUCUGAUUCCAACAUCUUCCAGGAAACUUUGACUGGAAAGGGGAAGAAGAACAUGACAAAGGAAUUCAAAGACCAGAAUGCUUUGGAGAUUGACAGAAGGUUAAUCUGUCAACAUUUCCUCAGGGGAAAGUGCAUAAAGGGUGUUGACUGCCAGCUAGAACAUGCUCUGGGUGUCAACUACUCGAUCAACGAAGUGUGUAAAUUCUACGUCCAGGGAUCCUGUUCGAAAGGAGAGAGCUGCAUAUACAUGCACAAGUUUCCCCUGCAAGUUCUUCCAUACUUACGAGAAGUGCUACCAAGGAGACCAGUGCAGGUUUUCCCAUGAACCCCUGACUGAGCUCACCAAACAGCUACUGGAGGCAGCAUUGAAGAGGGACAAGGACAUUGAGGAACUGGCUAAAAACGACAAGCCAAUCAGCAUGGAGGAGCCAGUGACAGCUGAGGAGACAAAGCCUGGCAUUGACAUAUUCCUGAAUCCCCUAAGGCCAAACUUUUACAACAGCUCAUGCCCCUCUGAGCCACAUGCUGAGGAAAGUACCACCAUGUAUCAGAAUGAAGUGUCAGCUGAGGUCGUGGAGAAGGAAAUUGCCAAUAAGAGGCAGGCUUCUUAUUCAGUUGAGGCUUUCUCUACGGCCCAGAAGCCAGUGAAAAACCCCUUUUGCAGUCUCUUUGCAGGGACGAUCAGCCAGACCUCCACUACACCUCUCAUACAGAACUCUGCUAAUUCGCCCAUCAACACCCCAGGAUGUAAGGGACUAGCUUCUUAUUCAGUUAAGGCUGUUCUAAAGUCCCACAAGCCUGUGGAUAACCCCGUCCGCAGCCUUGUUGCAGGCCCCAUCACACAGUUCUCUCGCCACCCUGAUAUACAGACCCAACACCCAACUAGAUCGUCCUAG
rnacentral:lncRNA from 1 species